GCCGAGCUCAGUUGCGUGAGCUCGUAACCCGAGCGGGGGCAUUAAGGUGAUGUGGAUGCUGUUGAGUAUGCGAAAGUUGGGCCUCACGGUCCAUAAUGUGGUAGGCAUAGCGUGAGUCUGGCUUCACAGAGUCACCAUCACUUUUCGUACUAUCAAGGCGGUGGUUGUGAGGUCGAGUUAGGUUUGGCUGGAAGGAUAACGGGCCGUUGCACUUCUUCGCCACUUGGUCCUCACAUCCUACUCCAGCGAACCAUCACUUUU
rnacentral:SRP_RNA from 1 species